rnacentral:lncRNA from 1 species
CGAUCUUUUCUGUCGUGAUCAGAAGACACCUCUGAUCACCAAAAGAUCUAAACCUGCCCAACGAAGCAUAUUUAGUAUCAUGGUACAAGCAAUUCGCGAGCUCACCUUAUCCUGAACGCCCGGAACUAGCAAGAACUUGUUCAGUAGCUCUAUAAGUUUGUGCGCUUUCUGCACGGAGCAUCUCUUCACUGAUGAGAAUUCUCUCUCUGACAGUUUUCGAAGCUGGAAGCAGGUUCAUAAAAAGGUCCAGGAACUUCGAUUUCCGAGCUACGGUCUGAAGAUCAAUGCACAUAUCCCGUGAAGGAUUAGCUUACAUACCCAGCUACUAUCGUCAAAACAUUUGAGCGGUAAGAGAAACUUUGCAAGCCUUUCGCCUCCAUCGUCUGCAAGCGGUUCGCAGAAAACCACGAACUGUAA